CCCUAUGGGGUGCAGCGGCGGCGGAGCAUGUCAUCGGCCAGGGUAAGUGGAGAGGAAAUCGAGUCUGCAAGAGGCACUUCGGAUGCAGCGUUCAAGGAUGUUUCCGCGCCAAAAUGAUGGCGGAUCUUGUUGAUUUUAUUGGCAAGGGUGAAGUGCGGGGAGCUUGAGGAAGCUUUGACCUGUUGCGGAUGGCAGCCGCCGCAGGUGAUCGCCAUCCGGUCUGGGUGGCUUGGUUGUGCAAUUAAUCCGGCGUGUGCCUUCUCAACCUGACCUUCUUUGUCGCUCCCACCAUGACAGGAGGUACAGGCGAGUUGAUGGGCUGGAUCGAGUUGGACAUCGCCAUGACACCCUGUGCAACCUGCCUGGAACGUUGGGGCGCUGAUCGGCGGGGGAGC
rnacentral:rRNA from 1 species